CUGUAUUUGUCUAUCACGUUGUAGUGUGUGCUAAGUCGCUUCAGUCGUGUCCGACUCUUUGCAACACUAUGGACUGUAGCCCACCAGGCUCCUCUGUCCAUGGGAUUCUCCAGUGUAGAUUGAACUAUCAUUAAUACCAACACUACAAGUUGGAGACAAAGAUUUCUGAAACUGUUGAAGAUGAAAUAAAAAGAAUUGAUCCUAAGGAAAAAAAAAAAAAGAAUUGAUCCUAAGUUCUCAGCUUUUGUCUCAAUUUAUCUUCAAUUGAGUACCUUACAUAGGUUUGAUAUGCAAAAAUGAAGACAAAUCAUCACUAGCAGAUGUUUCCUAUAAGAAAUUUAAGAAGAAAUCCUCAUGUUGAUGCUGGGAAGAAACCAACACAAUAACAUAAAGGAAGAAACCAACACAGUAUCUGAGGGCAAUUAUCCUUUCACUUAAAAUAAAAAAAUUUUCAUGUGUUUGUUAGCCAUCUGUAUGUCUUCUUUGGAGAAAUGUCUGUUUAGUUCUGUGGCUCAUUUUUUUAUUGGGUCAUUUAUUUUUCUGGAAAGAUGCUCAACAUCACUCAUUAUCAGAGAAAUACAAUCAAAACCUCAAUGAGGUACCAUUACACGACAGUCAGAAUGGCUGCUAUCCAAAAGUCUACAAGCAAUAAAUGCUGGAGAGGGUGUGGAGAAAAGGGACCCUCUUCCACUGUUGGUGGGAAUGCAAACUAGUACAGCCGCUAUGGAGAACAGUGUGGAGAUUUCUUUGAAAACUGGAAAUAGGAAGCCCCGCGGGUGUCAUCGCCAGACGAGCUCGCCGAAAUGGCUGCCGCCAGUCAAGGUGCACGGGUUUCAUAUUCUAGAAAGUUGGGAAAUGGCUGCAACGGCUGUGGGAGGUGGAUUUUUUCUGCUUCAGCUUGCAAACCAUACUGGCUACAUCAAAGUGGACUGGCAGCGAGUAGAGAAGGACAUGAAGAAGGCCAAAGAACAGCUGAAGAUCUGCAAGAGCAACCAGAUACCUUCAGAGGUCAAGAGCAAAGCAGAGGAGGUGGUGCCGUUUGUGAAGAAGAACGUUCUAGUGACUGGUGGCUUUUUCGGAGGCUUUCUGCUGGGCAUGGCAUCCUAGAGGGGAUGACUUCACCACCAUUAGUCCUAGCUGUGCCAACCAGCAGCCUCUUCCCUCCACCCUAGGACAGCAAACUCCUCCUCUUCCUCCUCCCUGCCAUGGCAUAUCUGAGUGGCUUCUGUAGGCAUCUGGUGAUUCAAGUUGGGAACGGACCCACUGUGAGCUUGACAGCAAUGGAAGAGACCGUAGACCUUAGCGCUUAUCUAGCACACUCCCCCGGGACUAAUCUGUAGGUCAGCAAGUAUAUUCCUUUCUGGCGUAAGAUACUUACCAGAACAUAGGACAAGAUGACAACGCCAAGUGGAUCUUCAAAGGUUGCCCCACACUUGAUUUGGAAAAGACAUUGCAAGCUUAUAAGAUAUCUCAUUAAGUUUUGCAUGGAAAAGAACUGAAUACACUGGCCUUUAAGCAUGAGAGAUUUUGCCAUUGUGGUGUCUACUUUCUAGUUUAGUAGAUUUGAGAUUACAGAAAGAGAACUGCUCUUAGUGUGGGACAGUUGAAAAAUCCGAAUAUGGAAUGACCUUGUCCUAAAGUGACAUACGAUGUGUUGAAGCUGUGUUUGGUGGGAAGGCCUUUGGGGAAACCAAGCAGUUGAUAACAUUUAGGAUGGUCAGACUUGGUGAAUCAUUUAAAGGCAUUCAGAUAUUAUCUAGGGAUGUUUUCCAACACACAGGAUAAUGCAUUACCUAGCUGUUUUCAAACGUUUAUUGAUGGUAAAAUAAGUGACUUUAGGUGUAAGAGGGAGGAAGCUCUUGGGUGUUUAUUUAAUAGAAAGGGUUUAAAGCUUUGAACUUUUCUUUACUUCCGUUCAAAACGUCAGAGGUAGCCCAUAGCUCCUCUGUGUCAAUUCUAUUUCUUUAUCCAGAGUUUUAAAAUGGUGGCAUUUCCAAGCAUUAAAAAUUUAGAACAGUAGCAUGAAAAAACAAAACUGGAAAUAGAAUUGCCAUAUGACCCAGCAAUCCCACUUCUGGGCAUACACACCGAGGAAACCACAUCUGAAAGAGACACAUGCACCCCAAUGUUCAUCGCAGCACUGUUUAUAAUAGCCAGGACAUGGAAGCAACCUAGAUGUCCAUCAGCAGACAAAUGGAUAAGGAAGCUGUGGUACAUAUACUCUAUGGAAUAUUACUCAGCCAUUAAAAAGAAUUCAUUUGAAUCAGUUCUAAUGAGAUGGAAAAAACUGGAGCCCCUUAUACAGAGUGAAGUAAACCAGAAAGAUAAAGACUAAUACAGUAUACUAACGCAUAUAUAUGGAAUUUAGAGAGAUGGUAAUGAUAACCCUAUAUGAAAAACAGAAAAAGAGACACAGAUGUACAGAACAGGCUUUUGGACUCUGUGGGAGAAGGCGAGGGUGGGAUGUUUCGAGAGAACAGCAUGGAAAAUGUAUAUUAUCAAGGGUGAAACAGAUCACCAGCCCAGGUUGGAUGCAUGAGACAAGUGCUCAGGGCUGGUGCACUGGGAAGACCCAGAGGAAUCGGGUGGAGAGGGAGGUGGGAGGGGGGAUCGGGAAGGGGACACAAGUAAAUCCAUGGCUGAUUCAUGUCAAUGUAUGGCAAAAACCACUACAAUAUUGUAAAGUAAUUAGCCUCCAACUAAUAAAAAUAAAUGGAAAAAAUAAAAAAUAAAAAUGGUGUUGCUGUUGAGGACUGAUGAGAAGAACCCAGAGAGAAAACCCAGUCUGUUCUUCAUGGAAUCACGAGGAAGGUCCAUCCGCCUGGUUUCCUGGGUUGUGUAUGCUGUUGCUAAGUCGCUUCAGUCAUGUCCAACUCUGUGGGACCCUGUGGACUGUAGCCUUCCAGGCUCCUCUGUCCAUGGGAUUCUCCAGGCAAGAAUACUGGAGUGGUUUGCCAUGCCCUCCUCCAGGAGAUCUUCCCAACCCAGGAAUCAAAACCAUGUCUCUUAUGUCUCCUGCAUUGGCAGGUGGGUUCUUUACCACUAGUGCCACCUGGGAAGCCCCU